rnacentral:rRNA from 1 species
GAUGAACGCUGGCGGCGUGCCUAAUACAUGCAAGUCGAGCGAACGGACGAGAAGCUUGCUUCACUGAUGUUAGCGGCGGACGGGAGAGUAACACGUGGAUACCCUACCUAUAAGACUGGGAUCACUUCGGGAAACCGGAGCUAAUACCGGAUAAUAUUUUGAACCGCAUGGUUCAAAAGUGAAAGACGGUCUUGCUGUCACUUAUAGAUGGAUCCGCGCUGCAUUAGCUAGUUGGUAAGGUAACGGCUUACCAAGGCAACGAUGCAUAGCCGACCUGAGAGGGUGAUCGGCCACACUGGAACUGAGACACGGUCCAGACUCCUACGGGAGGCAGCAGUAGGGAAUCUUCCGCAAUGGGCGAAAGCCUGACGGAGCAACGCCGCGUGAGUGAUGAAGGUCUUCGGAUCGUAAAACUCUGUUAUUAGGGAAGAACAUAUGUGUAAGUAACUGGGCACAUCUUGACGGUACCUAAUCAGAAAGCCACGGCUAACUACGUG